GGCACUUCUUUUGCUGCAUUCCAUAAAUUUUGGUAUGUUGAGUUUUUGUCUUCAUUCAUCUCAAAACGUUUUCUAAAUUUCUUUUAUCCUAAAAACAACUGUAAACCCAGAAUUUUAUAUCUAUUGAAAAUACUCAUUAGGAAGGAAAAAUAAAGACAUUCUCAGUGAAGGAAAAAUCACAAGAAUUCAUCUCCAGUAGACCUUCUUUAAAAUAAAUGCUAAAAUAAGUUACUCAGGCAGAAGGGAAAUGAUGACAAAGGGGAAUCUGGAACGUUAAAAUGAAGGAGAGCAUCCAAAAUGGGAAAUAUCUUGGC
rnacentral:lncRNA from 1 species